AGUGAACGCUGGCGGCAGGCCUAAUACAUGCAAGUCGAACGGCAGCACAGCAGAGCUUGCUCUGUGGGUGGCGAGUGGCGGACGGGUGAGGAAUACGUGGGAAUCUGCCCAGUCGUGGGGGAUAACGUAGGGAAACUUACGCUAAUACCGCAUGCGCCCUUCGGGGAAAGCCGGGGACCUUCGGGCCUGGCGCGAUUGGAUGAGCCCACGUCGGAUUAGCUAGUUGGCGGGUAAAGCCCACCAAGGCGACGAUCCGUAGCUGGUCUGAGAGGAUGAUCAGCCACACUGGAACUGAGACACGGUCCAGACUCC
rnacentral:rRNA from 1 species